rnacentral:lncRNA from 1 species
UCGCUCUCAAUUAUUCAGAACUCAGCAAUCCUUUCUAGAUCCUCUUUCAAUCUCAAAUAUUUUUCGAUUGAUUUGCCUGAUUCAAAAUUUCUGAUCGAUAAUUUGCCACGCCGCAGUUAGUAUUCGUGCUCGGAGACCGGAGGUCCGUCGAAGCAUCUCAAUUGGACAGAUUAUUUUUAGAUUAUGCAGUGAUACAUACAAUCUCGAAUACCUAUUUUUUUUGGAUCUGAGGCUCCUUUUUCUGGUAUUUUGCAGCGCUUUGAAUGUGGAAACAGAUUUUGGGGUAAGUUUUUUUGGUGCCUUUUUGGUGUAGUUUGUGAUUAACAAUUAUAGAAAUGGCUAUUAAUAAAAAUUGAAUUUAUUUGAAGUAGUGUUGCAAUAUGAAUUAGUGAUGUUCUGUGAGAGUGAGAUGGUUGGCAUCUGAUACAAAUAAGGGCUCAAAUGCAUGAACUAUUUGAAUGUCGCUCUGCUUUCUCAGAUUUUAAAUUAACUCUUGUUGGUGAUUUCGAUUCUG